UGAAUCCAUUCAAGGCGCAAGCAAGGUUUCCAGCUCUCCUGGACAUUGUCGUUUGGCUGCAUUGCCAGGUCCUGUUUUAAAUUUGAAGGUCAAAUAGUUAACUUAUGAUAAAUGAUAUUAUAUUGAGAUUUGAGCCAAGGCAGAGAGUGUGGGAAAGCCUAAGAGAAAACCAUUAGGGCUCCAAAUGUGCUGAUCGGGAAGGAGUCUGCCCUGAAGAAGUGGAGAUUCUUGCAAUGAGUGCUCACGAGGAAGCCAGAGGGGUCUCGCUGGCUGAACCCAGCUCAGAGCCCCAUAAUAACCCCAUUGUUUACAAACAAACCUGUUUUUACAAACUUGUCCUCCGAAAUUCCAGAUUUGCCUUUUAAACCACCCCCCCUUCCUUUUGUAGUCGGGUAGAACUGUUACAGACCGCAGGCUGGCUGAGAUCUGAGAAGCCCUGAUCUCUAGUGUUGCUGUUCCUCUCUGAGCCUGGUGUCGCAGCCGCCCUGGACGUGAGCGAGCCUGCAGUGAGCGAGCCUGCUUCUCCUUCACCCCGUCCUCGGCUCUAACAGUGCCAGCACGCUGUGGCCGUCCUUGCUGUUUGUCUUCUUUGCUUUGAGUUUGAAGCUUGCAGGCUCAUGAAGAACCACCGUUUAUGCUACAGACAACGAUGAGCAACUUUGAGCGGAUUCCACUGCAACCUUGAGUCAUGCAUCUCUGUUCUCGUGAUCAGACUCCUUGCGUGGGUCAGGAAGAUGUACCCACCCUCUCUUCUUGAACUGAUAGGAUUUAGUAAAUAGGAAUGACAGAGCUACUUUAUAUUCGUGCAUACAUUGUCUUCACCUCAAAAACCAUCCUGUGAACCACUGACCACGAUUUCCAGCCCUUUAUGGGAAACCCCAAGGCUUGGUGGUGCUCAGAUCUUGAAAGGGAGGAAAGGUGAACGCAGAACUGGGCUUUCAGAACGUAUCUGCUCUGUGAAAUGCAGACAGCGUGUCUCCAGUCAUAGCAGUUCCAGGCCAGCUCCAUCCAGCCACCAGAGGGGAGAUUCUCCAGGUCAAGGUCAGCAGGUGUCCCGCCCCAGACCUCCACUGGACUUUCUGCUUUCUGGGACGGAUCUGGCACCAGUGCCAUAAGUUGCCUUCCCGGGAAAGGGACUCCCCCCAGAGACUCCGACAUGGACGUCAGCAGCAUGCAGUAAAGAUGCUGUAAGGGGGCGAGGGAGCAGGACAGAGCAAGAGGGAGGAGGAGCCGCAGACAACUGGCAGUGCCCCCGAAGGGGGUUCUGGGGGAGUUCCCUGAAGCAGGGCGCUGCUUGUUGGGCAGCACAAGCAGCAGAAGCCCGAUGAAUCGUCCCUGGGAGGUAUUGGCUUUUCACCUUCAUGAGAGGCGCGCUUGCUGUUUUCUCAUUUAUUUUCUUUUUCAUAGAAAUGUAUUAAUAUAUUAGCGUCUCCAGGUCACAGCAAAUGCAUGAUAAUUACUCCACACAGUUCUCUUCAAUCCUCAUGGCAAUGUGAUGUUAAUACAAAGAGAGCAGAUCCAAUGUUGUUUGUAGAUGCAAGUCUAAGAAUGUAGCACCUGCCUCCCCCCCCACCCCUCCCGCUCCCUUUC
rnacentral:lncRNA from 1 species